AUUGAACGCUGGCGGCAGGCUUAACACAUGCAAGUCGAGCGGGGUGAUGGUGCUUGCACUAUCACUUAGCGGCGGACGGGUGAGUAAUGCUUAGGAAUCUGCCUAUCAGUGGGGGACAACAUCUCGAAAGGGAUGCUAAUACCGCAUACGUCCUACGGGAGAAAGCAGGGGAUCACUUAUGACCUUACGCUACUAGAUGAGCCUAAGUCGGAUUAGCUAGUUGGUGGGGUAAAGGCCUACCAAGGCGACGAUCUGUAGCGGGUCUGAGAGGAUGAUCCGCCACACUGGGACUGAGACACGGCCCAGACUCCUACGGGAGGCAGCAGUGGGGAAUAUUGGACAAUGGGGGGAACCCUGAUCCAGCCAUGCCGCGUGUGUGAAGAAGGCCUUAUGGUUGUAAAGCACUUUAAGCGAGGAGGAGGCUCUUUUGGUUAAUACCCAAGAUGAGUGGACGUUACUCGCAGAAUAAGCACCGGCUAACUCUGUGCCAGCAGCCGCCGCAG
rnacentral:rRNA from 1 species